rnacentral:rRNA from 1 species
UGGGGAAUAUUGCACAAUGGGCGGAAGCCUGAUGCAGCGACGCCGCGUGGGGGAUGAAGGCCUUCGGGUUGUAAACUCCUUUCGACAGGGACGAAGCUUUUGUGACGGUACCUGUAUAAGAAGCACCGGCUAACUACGUGCCAGCAGCCGCGGUAAUACGUAGGGUGCGAGCGUUGUCCGGAAUUACUGGGCGUAAAGAGCUCGUAGGUGGUUUGUCGCGUCGUCUGUGAAAUUCCGGGGCUUAACUCCGGGCGUGCAGGCGAUACGGGCUGACUUGAGUGCUGUAGGGGAGACUGGAAUUCCUGGUGUAGCGGUGAAAUGCGCAGAUAUCAGGAGGAACACCGAUGGCGAAGGCAGGUCUCUGGGCAGUAACUGACGUUGAGGAGCGAAAGCAUGGGUAGCGAACAGG